rnacentral:rRNA from 1 species
GACGAACGCUGGCGGCGUGCCUAACACAUGCAAGUCGAACGGAAAGGCCCUGCUUUUGUGGGGUGCUCGAGUGGCGAACGGGUGAGUAACACGUGAGUAACCUGCCCUUGACUUUGGGAUAACUUCAGGAAACUGGGGCUAAUACCGGAUAGGAGCUCCUGCUGCAUGGUGGGGGUUGGAAAGUUUCGGCGGUUGGGGAUGGACUCGCGGCUUAUCAGCUUGUUGGUGGGGUAGUGGCUUACCAAGGCUUUGACGGGUAGCCGGCCUGAGAGGGUGACCGGCCACAUUGGGACUGAGAUACGGCCCAGACUCCUACGGGAGGCAGCAGUGGGGAAUAUUGCACAAUGGGCGGAAGCCUGAUGCAGCAACGCCGCGUGCGGGAUGACGGCCUUCGGGUUGUAAACCGCUUUCGCCUGUGACGAAGCGUGAGUGACGGUAAUGGGUAAAGAAGCACCGGCUAACUACGUGCCAGCAGCCGCGGUGAUACGUAGGGUGCGAGCGUUGUCCGGAUUUAUUGGGCGUAAAGGGCUCGUAGGUGGUUGAUCGCGUCGGAAGUGUAAUCUUGGGGCUUAACCCUGAGCGUGCUUUCGAUACGGGUUGACUUGAGGAAGGUAGGGGAGAAUGGAAUUCCUGGUGGAGCGGUGGAAUGCGCAGAUAUCAGGAGGAACACCAGUGGCGAAGGCGGUUCUCUGGGCCUUUCCUGACGCUGAGGAGCGAAAGCGUGGGGAGCGAACAGGCUUAGAUACCCUGGUAGUCCACGCUGUAAACGGUGGGUACUAGGUGUGGGGUCCAUUCCACGGGUUCCGUGCCGUAGCUAACGCUUUAAGUACCCCGCCUGGGGAGUACGGCCGCAAGGCUAAAACUCAAAGGAAUUGACGGGGCCCCGCACAAGCGGCGGAGCAUGCGGAUUAAUUCGAUGCAACGCGUAGAACCUUACCUGGGUUUGACAUGGAUCGGGAGUGCUCAGAGAUGGGUGUGCCUCUUUUGGGGUCGGUUCACAGGUGGUGCAUGGCUGUCGUCAGCUCGUGUCGUGAGAUGUUGGGUUAAGUCCCGCAACGAGCGCAACCCUUGUUCACUGUUGCCAGCACGUUAUGGUGGGGACUCAGUGGGGACCGCCGGGGUCAACUCGGAGGAAGGUGGGGAUGACGUCAAGUCAUCAUGCCCCUUAUGUCCAGGGCUUCACGCAUGCUACAAUGGCUGGUACAGAGAGUGGCGAGCCUGUGAGGGUGAGCGAAUCUCGGAAAGCCGGUCUCAGUUCGGAUUGGGGUCUGCAACUCGACCUCAUGAAGUCGGAGUCGCUAGUAAUCGCAGAUCAGCAACGCUGCGGUGAAUACGUUCCCGGG